UUUAGUUACUUAAUGUUCAAGUUAGGAUCUGAUAUUUUGGAAGCUGUUGUCAAUGAGAAUCCAUUUGGUUAACGUAAAAAAAGAACUUGGGGGAACUGGGUUACAUAUACCCAAUCUAGAUGUACUUGGUUAACUCAUAAGUGGAUAACCAAAUCAGAUUUUGUCGACUGUAUAGCCAUCUGAAUCGAUCAGUCUGGAUAGACUUUAAUCGAUAGAGGUUCAGUUUUCUGGGGUUGAUAGAUUUUCUACUUUGGUGCAAUAUAAAUUAUUGAUUGACAAACUUAGCUGCUAUUUUGAAAAUGUCAGGAGGAUCCUGAAAAAUUGUUUGGUAGAGGCAAGGGGGUCUUUUCCAGUCGAUGAACAAAUUAAUUCCCUUUGCUAAGAGGGAUAGAUUUGAGUUACUCCUCCCUGGUUCAUUAACCAACUGCAGAUUAUGUAAGAGCUUAGUGUUAAAUAAUAAAAUUGUGACUAAUCAUUCUAAAAAUUUAAGCUGAUGAGAAAUGGUGUAGUAUAUUAUUUGUAAAUUAAUAUAAUCUUCCUAUGCUGAGGUGCGCUAGGAAUCAAGUACAAAUUCUCUUUAUCUUGUGCUAAAAAUAAUUUAAUAUAAAUUAGAGGUUUUUGUCAAUCGUUGCAGGACUUGGCAUGGCUGAACGUAUUGCAUUACGAUGUGGUCCUCAAUAAGGUAUAUGGUAGUAGCGUAUAAGAUAACUGUCAGUAAUUAAAUGUAAGGUGGAAGACAUAUUUAUGCAUUUAUAAGCUAGCAGCUUUUUUGUCUUCACCUUCUCUAGCUUUGUAUGGAUGUAAAUGGUUUGGGACCCUGUAUUUCAACUAAGGUUUAUGAUCUUCUGCAAUUAUUUUUAUUUUUUUUCUAAAAUGAAAAUAUUAGGUUUGAUUAUUCAUCUUUUUUUAAUAAAUUUUAUAUUUAUUAUUAUUUUGUUAAAUAUGUAGAUUUUAUUUUGAUUUAUUCUCUUUUUCUACUUUUUUUUAAGUAUUUUU
rnacentral:lncRNA from 1 species